ensembl:lncRNA
UUGGCAUUAGAAGUUUUUAUUUGGAAUUUGACCCACAAUCUAUACAAGUUAUUUACAAGGCAUGAAAAUGGAAAACAGCACAAAAUACAAUUGAGGUAUAAGCUAAGAGCACAGUAUGUCAUGUUUCAAUAAAUAUAAUUCAAAUUUGUAAACUAAGUAACCAGAUAGAUGAGUCUUAUUUUUUAGUAAAACCAUAUAAAAUAUUUAUUUCACGUGAGGUAGAGGACAGUUUCGUAUGUCAUGUAAUGCAACCAACCACAGAAAUUUUAAUCAAAGUCAAAUUAUAGUCAAUAUAAUCAGCGAUUUGUUUCAACAGUCGCAGAACAAGUUAAUUCAAUUACUGCUUUCACAGGUUAGAAAUUCAGAAAUAAUUUAAGACUGCUAUGUUGGCUUAAAAUUAUCAGGAUAAACGAGUACUUUUAACAGAAGUUAAAAGCCAAGUAUGUUUUACUUCUCACAGUCGAAUUCUCCAAAAUGUUCUAGAUUUCACAACUGUUUUAGUAAGAUGUUUCUACUAGAACUACUUUAAGUAUGCUGUGCUUUAUUUUCAAGUGAGGUAUCUAUUGGAGAAAAAAUCUUAUAAAUUUCUUACAUUUAACUUUAAACACUAUUUCAUUUUCUGGGCUUAAUUUUUAAAUUUGUCUUUACAUUUCAUCACCUUCUAAUUAAAAAAACAGUAGCACUGGCCAGAGAUUUAGCUCAGUGGUUCUGCCUCCUGUCUCGCAAGCACAAGGACCCAGGUUCGAUCCCUGAUUCCACAAAAAACAAAAUAACAGUAGCACUAUAUAAGACAUUUAAUUUUAUUUCUAAACAGGCUCCAAAUUGCAUUAUAUAAAGCCAUUUAAGUGGAAAGAUUUUAAAAAAACAAAAACUGUCCUUUAGACAAAAUGCAAUAUAAAAUAACUAUAUGCUUUUAUUCCAAUAGUGGAAAUGCUUAAGUAACCUAUACUAGAAAAACCUUUUAAGUUGUUUAAAUUAUUCAAUUCCACAACAUAUAAUACAGCAGUUAUAUGUCCCUUAUUGCUGCCAGUCAAUAAAAACUAUUAACAAGUAGUUCCAAGCCCAGGAACAGAUGUACAGUAUCAGCACAAUUUUUCAUUAUAUUUUUAAUGUCAUGUGGAUUAAAUGAAUAAAGGGCAAAUAAAAAUGAGUGUUCUUCCCUAAAUAAUCAAAACAAAAGCCUUAUCAUUGAGAAGAAAAUUUCAGAAGCUGAUCAAAAACCUUCAGUGCUAAUUUCGCAAUUUAUUCUAGGGAAAUAUCUUAAGUGUGUUUUACAUUAGAGUUUCCUUUUUCAUUUUAUUUUCCUUCAAACAGAAACCACUGAUGUGCAAAAAAAAAACCCCAAAAAACCAAAAACUGGUUGUUCUGUUGACUUCUAAAAGAUAUGGAUAACCUGCAAGUAUCAUAGAACUUGGUUUAUUUUACCUACUUUAAUAACUGCUUUAAACUUCAAUAUUUACAAAUGAUUUUAUAUCUAAACUGGUAAUAUAUUAAAUGUUAUAAAAUUAGCUCAAGAAGCAUAAAACAUCAUAAUUCUCCCAGACACAAGAAAUGCAAGCAAAACAAGUUUUAUAAAAAUUAAAAGCACAAGCCAAAUUUAAGUUGGUACAAUCUUUUCAUAGCACUAAAGGGUUGCAUUUGUAAAAUCUGUGUUGUUUAAGAGCUUCCUCAAUGACAGCAGGUUUUAUAUUUACUACCUUUAAAGAUUUGGUUUAUUAAACUAUAGAAACUAUGACCACCCAAUUUAACAUCACUCAUCACCUAGUAAGCUAAUAUUCUUUCUAAAGAUGCUCUAGCAAAACUAUAGGCUGCUGUUCCUUUACUGCAGCUUUUUAGAGUAAAUGUUUUUAUUUUUCCUAAAAAGAAUAUUAUGAACUCUGAGAAAAAAUUGGCCUGCCUAGUGAACUUGGCACACAAAAACUAACACCAAAACAAACUUUAAAUUAGCAACCAGUACACAAAAUGAGCAUGCAAAGAAUAGAAGAAUAAGUUCUAUAUGGGUAAGACUUUUAGCAGAGGUCAUUUUUUAAAGUAUUACAAAAUCUCUAUAUUGUUUUCAAGCUAUGUGGUGCAAUUUAAAUUAAAGUACUUUUAACAGCAAUAUUUAC